UGACAAUGCACCACAGGUCUUUUACCC
rnacentral:piRNA from 1 species